AGACUGAUGAACUGCAGUUUGUCAGAGAUCAGCUUUUCUUCUCUGGCCUCAGCUCUGAAGUCCAACCCCUCCCAUCUGAGAGAGCUGGACCUGGGUGACAACAAUCUGCAGGAUUCAGGAGUGAAGCUGCUGUGUGAUUAUCUGCAGGGUCCAAACUGUAAACUGGAGACUCUGAUGUAAGUUUAGUCUUUGUCUGUUUCUGGUGUAGAUUCAUUUUUUUUAACCCAAUUCAAGUGUUCAUAGAAUUCUUUAAUGUUUUCAGAACUUAAUUCUUGCUCACAUAGUGCUGACAGUAGAGACAACAUAGUCUGUUCUGGGUUGAGUGUUAUUGUUGAAGAUCAGUGUACAGUGAGGGAUGAAGGCCGUUCAAGUUCAUUUUGAAGACUUUUUACCUUUUGUUGACCUAAGCGCUGGCCAAACCAGUGCUCCAUCACAUUUGAUGUCUUGUCUGUUAUUUUACAUGGAGGGUCAGAGCAGACCAGAUAAUGAGCUCUGACAGACUGGAUCUGGUCCAAAGGUCUCCUGUUGAAGUUCUUUAAGCUCAAUUUUUUAAACCUGAACACCUGAAGUUUGAUUAUUAAUUAUUUUGAUCCUCAUUCUCUUUCCUUUUUUCAGACUGAGGCACUGCAGUUUGUCAGAGAUCAGCUGUUCUUCUCUGGCCUCAGCUCUGAAGUUCAACCCCUCCCAUCUGAGACAUCUGGACCUGAGAGAAAACAAACUGCAGGAUUCAGGAGUGAAGCUGCUGUGUGACUUUCUGCAGAGUCCAAACUGUAAACUGGAGACUCUGAGGUCAGACUUUUUUCCUCCAUUCAAACAUUAUCAUGAUUUGUUUGUGAUGAUGACACUAAACUGCUGACUCAGGACUGAAAUACUGACCCAGACUGAACACCUUCAGUCCAGAGUAGAUUUUCUGCAUCAGUGGAUUAUUUGAUUGACUCCAGUUCGAUCACUGCUGAGCUCCAGUGAAUUAAAACCUGAACCCAAGAAGAAAACUCUUUGUAGAGUUCACAGUGAGAAGCACAUUCAGACAGAAAACAGAAGCAGGGGGAGAUUUGUCAGACGAGAACCAUUCAAACUUUUGUUCAGGACAAGAUCAGGGACUAUAAAAAACUCAGAGUUAAGUUUCUGACACUGAUGAAAGUCCAGCUCUGUUACUUUGAAUUUUGAUUGAUUUUGUGAAUCUUUAUGUGAAAAUCUGAAUUUUCUGGUUUAUCUGCACUUUUCUGAAGCCUUGCUGUGUUUAGACUGAAAUAUUUACCUCUCAAAGACGUGAUAUUUUUGGUUCAGCAAAGCGAAAAUAUUCUGAACCUCCUUUAUUUCCCAUCUGUCCUGAUGUCGCUGAAAUUUUCUGAAAAUAUUGAGCUGCAUCUACAAUCAGUAAAAAAGUCUCUGAGUUUUUUAUUUCACUAUUUAAUGUGUUUUUGAAUUCACAGUUUCAAACUGACUUCCUGUUUGGUUCAGCUCUUUGGAGCGUCACUUUUCUUUGAUUCAUACUUUCCAAACCUUUCCCCUGAACUCUCCAGAUUUAAGACAUCAGGUUUCAAACUGGAUCAUUUUGUCUAAAAUCUCAUUAUUUCCUUUGUAUUUAGAUUGAAUAACUGCAGUUUGACAAAGAUCAGCUGUUCUUCUCUGGCCUCAUCUCUGAAGUCCAACCCCUCCCAUCUGAGAUAUCUGGACCUGAGUAUCAACAAUCUGCAGGAUUCAGGAGUGAAGCUGCUGUGUGAUCUUCUGCAGAGUCCAAACUGUAAACUGGAGACUCUGAGGUCAGACUUUUUUCCUCCAUUCAGACAUGAUCAUGAUUUGUUUGUGAUGAUGACACUAAACUGCUGACUCAGGACUGAAAUACUGACCCAGACUGAACACCUUCAGUCCAGAGUAGAUUUUCUGCAUCAGUGGAUUAUUUGAUUGACUCCAGUUCGAUCACUGCUGAGCUCCAGUGAAUUAAAACCUGAACCCAAGAAGAAAACUCUUUGUAGAGUUCACAGUGAGAAGCACAUUCAGACAGAAAACAGAAGCAGGGGGAGAUUUGUCAGACGAGAACCAUUCAAACUUUUGUUCAGGACAAGAUCAGGGAAUAGAAAAAACUCAGUUUAGUUUCUGACACUGAUGAAAGUCCAGCUCUGUUACUUUGAAUUUUGAUUGAUUUUGUGAAUCUCUGUGUGAAAAUCUGAAUUUUCUGGUUUAUCUGCACUUUUCUGAAGCCUUGCUGUGUUUAGACUGAAAUAUUUACCUCUCAAAGACGUGAUAUUUUUGGUUCAGCAAAGUGAAAAAUAUUCUGAAUAUCCUUUAUUUCCCAUCCGUCCUGAAGUCGCUGACAUUUUCUGAAAAUAUUGAGCUGCAUCUCCAAUCAGUAAAAAAGUCUCUGAGUUUUUUAUUUCACUAUUUAAUGUGUUUUUGAAUUCACUGUUUCAAACUGACUUCCUGUUUGGUUCAGCUCUUUGAAGCGUCACUUUUCUUUGAUUCAUACUUUCCAAACCUUUCCCCUGAACUCUACAGAUUUAAGACAUCAGGUUUCAAACUGGAUCAUUUUUCUCUAAAAUCUCAUUAUUUCCUCUUUAUUUAGGUUGUAUGAAUGCAGUUUGACAAAGAUCAGCUGUUCUUCUCUGGCCUCAGCUCUGAAGUCCAACCCCUCCCAUCUGAGACGUCUGGAUCUGAAUUUCAACAAUCUGCAGGAUUCAGACAUGGAGCUGCUGUAUGAUCUUCAGAAGAGUCCAGACUACAGACUGGAGACUCUGGAGUCAGUAUAGAGUUGGAGUUAGUCUGUGCUGAUCUCUCCUGUUCCUCUCCACACAGAAUCACAGCAGAUAUUCAGUAUUUCCUGCUGACUCUUCGACCCUCUCAGAGGAUUCUUUCUUUAGUGAAGCUGUGAGAACAGAAAUCAUCAAACCAGGAGUGUAAGAGUGUCAGUGAUGAAAAAAGUGUCUCCUCGUCUCUAUAUUUCAGAUCAAAUGUAGAAAUGAAACAUAAUGAAACAGAAAUGUUCAGUUUCUGCUCUGAAGUCCAGUUUAUAGUUCUCUGUAUUCAACACAGACUUUAUUUCUCUGCUAACUUGUUGAUUUUGAGCUCUAAGUCUGAAAACAGACAGCUGUUCUUUAUACUUGUUAUUUUCACAGCAGGUUUGUUCGAUCAGCUUUAACACAUUUGACAGGAAUGAUUUCUUUAUUUUGAUGAUGUUGGUUUAUUUGUGAGGAAACCUGCUGCUGUACACCAUCACUUCUGCUCUGAGCAGGACUGAGACCUGCUGGUCUUUAAACUGGAUGUUCUUCAGUCCAGCUGAUGAAGUGAGUCUCAGAGUGGAAACACUCAUCGUCUUUUUUUCUCUCCUCAGAUGGAGAUCCUAUCAGUGAGAGUGAUUAAGAAGAGGAUCAUGUGUUUCCUGAUGCUCAGAGAGGUGGAGGCAGCGGUGUGUCGGUGUGUUUAGUUGGUCUUAGUUUUUAUGAAGCAGGAACUUUGAUUUGAUCGUCUUUUCUUGGAAAUCAAAGUUCCUGUUGGACUCAAAGAUAAAGUCUGUGAUCCCCGUCAGGUUUGAAGACUUAAAUUUCACAGCAGAGUGAUUGUGGCUCUGAGUCGGGAUGUUUGGACAUUUGUUUCAUGUGUUUUUAUUUGUGAUAUUCUCUCUAAGGUGGGUUAUUGUUCAUUCAAAGUAUGUGGUGGACAAAUCCACACAUCUAACAAAAAAAAGGUAAAAUAUGAAGAUUUCUGCAUGACAUCAACGAUAUAAUAGAUAUAAUUUUCUAAGCAACAGGUGGUCGUCUCUUAUAGGGGGUACUUUGAUCCAGAAAUCAAAAGCAAUCGAAGAAAGACACACGUCUGUCUGUCUGAUGUUUAGUGCCUUCCUUUUUAGUCUGGCUUUUAGCUGAUUUGUGUUUGAUUCUUCUAGCCUCUCUUCUAGUCUACUCUUUUUAUCUCACGUAUUUCACUCCACUUUAG
rnacentral:lncRNA from 1 species